UUGUUUCUGUGGAGGCAACAAAAAGAGCCUCUCAUUCUGUUGCUUAAUCUAUGACACCUACACACAGCUCCUCUGGCAGUUCUAUUAAUACUACAGUUGUCUUUUCUCAGCACCCCUCUUGUUCCCCAAGAUAAGUGAGGAGUUCCUACUUUUCUCUGGUGGGUUGAAGGAUGGGCUGAGGCACUUGAGAAAUUCAUUGAAGCUGAGCUUCCAGUCAGCAUUUUCAUCUGACAGCUCGAUGAGGGCAUCUACGCAGAGUCCCCUGAAAGGAAAUACAGAGGCUUUUUCUGCACAGGGCUGUGCUAGCCCAGUCCCUGCUCUACUGUCUUCAGAGUGCAGCAAGAAGCCAGACACCGUGAAUUUCUGGUAGCCUCCCUGAUCAGAGGGAGUGUCUGUGAUGCAACUUGGAGACACAGCCCUAACCAUGCUUUCGACCACUGGGGCUCCCAACUGCUACUCCUUGAAUCAGAGGUGACACUGCUGAUGAUCUGAGCUUCGCUUUUCAUCCUCUUGGGAGCCAUAUGAAGAUUGACAUUCCCCUUUUUACCUUUUGUAUCCAGCCCUGCAUGCCUCUCUUUAACCUCCUCCCUCAAAGAGAAAAAUCAUCUGAUCUGCUUCAGUUCUUCUGCCAGGGGAGAACAUUCCUCCACACAGCCUGCCAUUCACAGAUGUUGGAAAUGCUUAGUGAUACAGAAAGGAAACAAAAGCCUUCAGCCUCGCUGGAAAUCCAGCCCACCGCACCAGCCUAACACUGCCUGAAAACAGCCCCUCUGAUCUGAAAAGCUCAGCUCCACAAAGUGAGGGCAGUGGCCAUGUUCUCCCUUUGCAACAAUGCAGAAAUGGCCGAGUUAAUCUUUCUACACAAACCUCUUUGUUUGUGGAACUAUCUAGACACCAGAGAGACGUGGCAGGCUGAAACUUGGUGUUUUUCAUGCUUUAUGUCAAAAUCAAAUCAAAGGCAGGGGAGCACACUUAGUUUGGACAUAUUUUAAGUUAAACAAGCAUAAAAUAUUUGGCAAACUUCCCUUGCCUAAUGCAGUAUAAACAAUUUUGGUAUUCCAGAGAAAAAUUCCCAUUUAAUGAAUGCAGUGAGUAAGUAAAGAGAAGGUCACACUAUUCUUGCAGUCUUCACUAAGCACGGGACAGCCCCAGUUUCUGCCACAACUUUAGCAAAGUCCAUGUAUGACAUUAAGUGGCUCAUUUGCAGCCAGGGCUGCACUGGGAAGUGAGAGGAAAUAUCCCUGUAGGAUGGUAGGUUCUGCAGAACCCAAGUGAAGACAAGCCAAUUUUUGCCAUUACUUUCUGAGGGGAAAAAAAUAAACUCUGAUAAACACAAACCUGAGGCAGACUAAAGGUUUCAGAAGGCAGCCUCUGGCAAAUCCAACUGCAGCAGUUUAAGACAUUAGCUCGCACUGCUGUCUGCCAGCCUUGGCUGUCCACCUUGUUGGCUAGCCAGAAUUUACUGCUCCUCUAAUAAAGUCAGCAGAAAGAAAUACAUGCUUGUGCCUCAGCCACCACAGUUUGCAGCCCAGCGUAUUAGACUGCAUUGCUGCUGAUUGGUGAGAUCCCAAACUGUAUAUUGAAGGAGGAAAAGAACAGAUAAGAACAGAACAAAAUGUCUUGAAGGGCUUAGAAGAGACUUGAAAGGAAAGAGGCAAAUAAAGGGGCUGAAGAACUACAGAAAGAUGGGGGUUUUUUUCUACAGAAAUGAAUGCAGCAUUCUUUGCUGUUGGAAAGGCUGGUUUGGCUAUUGACUGCUCCCCAUGGGGGCAGGGAGCUGUAGGUGCAAAAGAUAAAGCCAGGUCUGCCAGAGUUAUCAGCUCUGCUCAUGCUCCCACCAGCUCAGAGUAAAAGUAGGAGCAUCCUCCACUGCCUAAUUGGAUACAAGGAAGCCCUCCUGACCCUAAUACCUGCACUACUGACACUACCCUCCCCUUCCAGGGCUCCCCUCCAGGAAUGACAUCACCUGAAUGUAUAAGCAGUCUAUUUUUACAAUUCCCAAUGCAACCAGGCCCUCUACUCCUAUGCAGAGCAGCUUUCAGACGUAAAAUGCAAUGUGUUGAAAGAAAUUAAAAUAGGAAAUUUAGAAGGGACAAUAGGUUUUCUUUUUUGACAAAGAUUUAAGAAAACCCAGGAAAUUCACACACCCAAAGCAUUUAUUAAAAUAUGUCCCUGGAGCCAGCUUUGACUAAGCAUGCCAGGAAAUCACUGGUAGCCUUUGAAUACUAAUAAAAAAACCUUAAAAGUACAUACUGUGUACUGUAGACAUAAAUCUCAUGUAAUGGAUUGUUCCACAUGCUUUG